GAUGAAGAACGCAGCGAAAUGCGAUAAGUAAUGUGAAUUGCAGAAUUCAGUGAAUCAUCGAAUCUUUGAACGCACAUUGCGCCCGCCAGCAUUCUGGCGGGCAUGCCUGUUCGAGCGUCAUUUCUACCCUCGAGCCCCCCCGGGGGCCUCGGUGUUGGGGGACGGCACACCAGCCGCCCCCGAAAUGCAGUGGCGACCCCGCCGCAGCCUCCCCUGCGUAGUAGCACACACCUCGCACCGGAGCGCGGAGGCGGUCACGCCGUAAAACGCCCAACUUUCUUAGAGUUGACCUCGGAUCAGGUAGGAAUACCCGCUGAACUUAAGCAUAUCAAUAAGCGGAGGA
rnacentral:misc_RNA from 1 species